rnacentral:rRNA from 1 species
UACGUAGGGUGCAAGCGUUGUCCGGAAUUAUUGGGCGUAAAGAGCUCGUAGGCGGUUUGUCGCGUCUGCUGUGAAAACGCGGGGCUCAACUCCGCGCCUGCAGUGGGUACGGGCAGACUAGAGUGCAGUAGGGGAGACUGGAAUUCCUGGUGUAGCGGUGGAAUGCGCAGAUAUCAGGAGGAACACCGGUGGCGAAGGCGGGUCUCUGGGCUGUAACUGACGCUGAGGAGCGAAAGCGUGGGGAGCAAACAGG